CCUACGGGAGGCAGCAGUGAGGAAUAUUGGUCAAUGGGCGCAAGCCUGAACCAGCCAAGUCGCGUGAGGGAUGACGGUCCUAUGGAUUGUAAACCUCUUUUGUCGGGGAGCAAGGCCAGCCACGUGUGGCGGGAAGGAGAGUACCCGAAGAAAAAGCAUCGGCUAACUCCGUGCCAGCAGCCGCGGUAAUACGGAGGAUGCGAGCGUUAUCCGGAUUUAUUGGGUUUAAAGGGUGCGUAGGCGGAAGGUUAAGUCAGCGGUAAAAUGUCGGUGCUCAACACCGGCCUGCCGUUGAAACUGGUCUUCUUGAGUGAGCGAGAGGUAUGCGGAAUGCGUGGUGUAGCGGUGAAAUGCAUAGAUAUCACGCAGAACUCCGAUUGCGAAGGCAGCAUACCGGCACUCAACUGACGCUGAGGCACGAAAGCGUGGGGAUCGAACAGGAUUAGAUACCCUGGUAGUC
rnacentral:rRNA from 1 species